AAUUUACCCCUAUGAGGAUGCACAAGGCCAACACACCUGGGAAGUCCCACUUAAGACCACACUUGCAGGAUCAUGUAGGAACUUCCAGGGAGCAUAGGCCUUCUGUUGGCCCUCUCCACAAAUUAAUUUUCCCUCUUGUGUUACUCUCUUUUUCAUAUGAGUUGAUCAAUUUGACAGCCCUGGAGAUCGAAGUGAUCUACCUACAGAAAAAGCAAAGCAUGGGCAGUAGUGGGGCAAGCUUCCCCCAAUGUGCUUCAACCCUGAUGUGAUGAGGCUAACUCUAAGGAAAGAGGCAGAGCUCUGAGAGCUUCAUCGGUCGGCCAGAACAAGGUGACUGGUUUAUGAAGAGGAUCGUUGAUUACGUUCAUCAAACCAGCAUUCUGCAACAUAGAAAAAAUGAGUGAUUUUUUGUUCUUCCUGUAAAAUUACACUGUAAAGGAUAAACUGUGAGAAACCAUGUACUGUAGGUAGGAGUGAAUUGGCCCAGCAACAAGGAUGCUGAAUGCAUCAUAGCCUUCCUAGUAAAUGGCCUGUAUUUUUGCCUUCCUGGGCACAUAGCCAAGAUUUAAAAAACCGGGUGUUUUAAAUUUAGGUUUUGAAGUCUAUUCUGAAGCUGAUUUUCAAAAGUUCUGAGCACCCAGCAACUCUUAUUAAGGAACAGGCCACUUAUUUAGAUGCUUAUCUCCGAGCUUAGGAGCCAUUUUUACAAAUCUGGGCCAAAAAGUUUUAGCACACAGGUGGAUUAAAGAGCAGGGAGGGGAUGGAUCUUAUGGACCCAUGAGUGCUCAGACCUGCCAUUCUCCCGUGUGGACGGUCAGAGAACUGAUUGCAGGGGCUCCUCCAUAGCUUGUGGGGAGAGAGCCUGUGCCCCAUUUCAUACUGUACACAGCCCCAUCACUCAGGCUGUGUGCCAAUUUCACAAACCAGUGCCAAAUGGUCAUUGCCUCCUGGAUUCUCUUACCUCUAGCAAGUUGCUGAACAUGAUGUAUCCUUGUUUGGCUGCAACCAUUUUAAGGCUUUCCUAGAAAGAUAUGAGGAUGAA